GAUGAACGCUGGCGGCGUGCCUAAUACAUGCAAGUCGAGCGAACGGACGAGAAGCUUGCUUCUCUGAUGUUAGCGGCGGACGGGUGAGUAACGCGUGUAUAACCUACCUAUAAGACUGGGAUCACUUCGGGAAACCGGAGCUAAUACCGUAUGAGAUUUUGAACCGCAUGGUUCAAAAGUGAGAGACGGUCUUGCUGGCAGUUAUAGAUGGAUCCGCGCUGCAUUGGCUAGUUGGUAAGUUAACGGCUUACCAAGGCAACGAUGCAUGGCCGACCUGAGGGGGUGAUCGGCCACACUGGAACUGAGACACGGUCAAGACGCCUACGGGAGGCAGCAGUAGGGAAUCUUCCGCAAUGGGCGAAAGCCUGACGGAGCAACGCCGCGUGAGUGAUGAAGGUCUUCGGAUCGUAAAGCUCUGUUAUUAGGGAAGAACAUAUGUGUAAGUAACUGUGCACAUCGUGACGGUACCUAAUCAGAAAGCCACGGCUAACUACGUG
rnacentral:rRNA from 1 species